AGUCCCGUGGUGUAACGGUUAUCACUCUGGACUCUGAAUCCAGCAAUCCGAGUUCAAAUCUCGGUCGGACCU
rfam:Ciona savignyi cont_22566, whole genome shotgun sequence.